rnacentral:rRNA from 1 species
CAUGUCCUUUAGAAUUUAAUUUAAGGUCUAGCCUGCCCACUGAUUUAUUUUAAAUGGCCGCAGUAAUUUGACUGUGCAAAGGUAGCAUAAUCAUUAGUUUUUUAAUUGAAAGCUUGUAUGAAAGGUUGGACGAGGUAAAAUCUGUCUCUAAUUAAUUUAAUUUAGAAUUUAACUUUUAAGUUAAAAGGCUUAAAUAGAAUUAAAAGACGAGAAGACCCUAUAGAUCUUUAUAAUUUAUUUAUUAAAUUUAAUUAAGAAUUUUUUAAAUUUUAUUAAUUUAAUUAUUUUAUUGGGGUAAUAUAAAGAUUAAAUUAAUUCUUUUUUUUUAUUAACAUUAAUUUAUGAUUUUAUGAUCCAAUUUUAUUGGUUAUAAGAUUAAGUUACCUUAGGGAUAACAGCGUUAUUUUUUUAGAGAGUUCUUAUCGAUAAAAAAGUUUACGACCUCGAUGUUGGAUUAAAGAUUAUUUCAGGUGCAGAAGUUUGAAAAUUUUGGUCUGUUCGACCAUUAAAUCUUUACAUGAUCUGAGUUCAGACCGGUGUAAGCCAGGUCGGUUUCUAUCUUUAAUAAAUUAAAAUAUUUUAGUACGAAAGGACCAAUUAUUUAAUAUAUAAUAUUUAAAUUUUGAUUAUUAUU